UAAGUGAAUUCGAUUAUAUAUAUUUAUAUAUAUAUACAGCAUGAGCAGCUACUGUACUUUUGACUCAUCCAUAACAAGCUCUUAAAGUCGAACCACGUUGCACCGUGUUGAAGAGGAAGUGGUUGUUGAUGUUCUUUCCUGUCGGCGCAGGAGUCAUGGACUUACAGUAGUGGCUCACUGUCACUCUCCUCCUUUGUGUCCAUAUAUCGGGUCGUGAAAUACAGAUCAAGUGCUCGUGUUAUUUAAGAGUGACCAAGAUUACAAGCAUUACUCAUCAGUUUUCAAGCAUUUAUUACAGACAAAAAAAAGGCACGAGAAACGAAUCCAAUUUAUUUCCAAAGGCUUCAGUCAUUACCACUCGUAUUUGACUCUUCUAUUUAUUAAUUUUUUUCAUGAUAAAAAAGCAUCUCAAACACAGUUUUCUUGGAGUGAGGGUCAUGACGUCAUCCCAGUGGUGCUACUUUCUCUGUUGCCGUUUAUCUUGUGAUGUGUCUUUGAGUACACUGAAAAGGUUUUAUUAUUAUUAUUAUUAUUAUUAUUAUUAAUAUGAGUGAAAAGAAGCAUGACUCAAAACCAGCUAAUCCGCUCCCACCAAGCGUGUGAUCCAAAAGUCUGACACCUCUUUUCAUUCAAGGGACUGUGCAGUGUGUGAAACUAUUAUUUUUCAUAAACUCAUUUUUAAUUAAACCCCGUGGUCUGUUUGACUGAAGUGACACUUUCAUAGAAACGACCAUAAGCACUAAAAAGAAAACAAAGCAUUCAUGAAUAUGAACAUUAUUAUUAUUAUUAUUAUUAUUAAUAUGAGUGAAAAGAAGCAUGACUCAAAACCAGCUAAUCCGCUCCCACCAAGCAGUGACAGGAAUGAUAAUUGUGCAAUCACAGUGUGGUUCAAACGACGUCGCCACAUUAAAUCUACAAUCAGGACUGUGGCCGAGUCAUCAGUGUAUUUUUUCUUUCUCCUUCUCCUCAGUCGCCUUUCUGCCACUUUGCGGUGCACACGACCUCGACUGCAACGUCACUCAGGAGGCCGGACGGACGGUUUACCGCCUGCCGCAGUUCAACGCGACCGGAUGUCAUUACAGUUGGACCAACCGGACGGGACUCCCGUCAAACUCUGGAUUGCCGCCGUGGUCGCCGCCGUGGUCGCCGCCGUGGUCGCUAUCCUGCUGCUGGUGGCGUUUAUCCUGUUGCGCACAAAGUUGAGAAAGGCCAGAAGUUGUAGACAGCCCGACUCCGGCGAGUACACUGCCAUGAGGAUGCUGAGCCGGCUCCCCCAACAAAGCUAAUGUGGACGCACAUCGGAUGUCAAAGCACCUCUCCUCAUCAAACAGUACUGUAUAUGCUAUAGCAGCCGCGAGUAUGUUCAAGGUUUUUGCACUGUUUACUGUUAAACCCUGACAUGAUUCUAGUAGCAAUGUGCCCUUCUCUGAUUGGAUUGGGUUUUAAAUGGCCAAAAAAUCAUUAGCUCAUCAUUAGAUGCAUUAUUAUUUAGUUAUUUCCCACUGCUGCAAGAAAUCACAUCUGCUUUACUCUCUGUUUUUGCCAAAAUGUUUAUGAAUUUAAUCGUGUUUACAUGAAUGUAAUUUACCGUUCGCUGUCAUGGUGUAGACUUGGGAAUGUGUGUGACAAAUGUUGUGAUACUGCACGCCAAAGUAUCAUGACUAUAUAAGCUUCAUUUUAUUGACUAUUCCAUCUACAUUUCAGCCACAAAACUCAGACCAUUUAUAUUUAACUGGACUUGAGAUACUUAAUACGCCUUUUUAACACCUUGUGGCCUUUUAUAAGUCUCACGUUUUGUGGAAAAAGAAUUUUUUUUACUUGUUCACAUGGUCAGUUAAACCACAGGACCUCUGGGAAAAAAACAAAUGUCUUAAAGCUGGACCAUUUUUAAAGAGUACACUGAUUCUGUAAAACCCUUCUUUUACACAAUGUAUUUAUUAUCUUAUUGAUAUCAUAUAUAUUAUUUGUUUUUAAUGGUGUCAUGGUAUAAAUAAAAGUGUCAUCUGCAUAGAGAUGUACGCUUACUGGUCUAAUCAUCGUACACCAAAGUCAUUGAUAGAAAAAGAAUAAUCUGUUGACAUCACAUACAUCAGAUACGGACAUUCCAGAUCCGCAUGUGGAAUUUUCUUUGUGGCUCAUUUAUGAGCUUUGAAAACGCAGUUGUCACAUUUUAACUCUGACCACAAACAGAGCAGCAUAUCUCCGUCAUCGAGUCUAUGACAUUUGAUUUUUUUUUGCGUAUUUGUAACUGUACUGUUGCGUUGCCCCUCACUGGGUCCCCCACCUCACUCCUCGUUUGCAUACCACUAAAAUCGUUUCACCAAUAAGCUUCACUUACAGUAAACCACAUGAUUUCUCUCCCUCGCAAGACAGAGCGUCGUGUAACUGGCAAUCUAAAAAUAGCCACGGUUUUAUAUUAAAGGUCAGUGAUUCAUGAAUGGAGCAGAACAUCUGACAUGAAAUGCGAUCUCUCGGGAUGAGCUGACACAAGUUCGACCCGCGGACGUGAAACUAACUUUGAUUCAGUGGCUGUUAACAGCAAACUUUCUAGUUUAGGGAAACUUUGGCCUUUGUUUUUUUUUAUUUAUUAUUUCAGUGUUAAGUUGUCUUUUGUGACAUGUCUGUUUUUAAUUCCACACAUUAUUUAUAUUUCUAUUUCAAGAGACAAUAAAAGAAAUACCCUCCUCACGGAAUCCUUUCGUAGGAUCGGGGCUGACCUUCUAUCCUGUUGUAUAUUUUCUUUUACAGGCCAUUCCUAUGAUAUCUUUGCUGUUGCAUUUCCACAGGUACACCAUGAGUUUAUUAUAGGCGUCAUUCCAAUAUGUCACUGUGUCUACACGUGUGAUCCAAAAGUCUGACACCUCUUUUCAUUCGAGGGACUGUGCAGUGUGUGAAACUAUUAUUUUUCAUAAACUCAUUUGUAAUUAAACCCCGUGGUCUGUUUGACUGAGGUGACACUUUCAUAGAAAUGACCAUAAGCACUAAAAAGAAAACAAAGCAUUCAUGAAUAUGAGCAUAUAAAAAGACACUUUUGACUCAAACGCUAGUAAUGACUCAUACGCUAGUUAUGACUCAUACGCAAACUGAUACAUAAGAACAACCCAACAUCAGUGAUUAGCAUGGUUUGGGUUUUGGUGUCACCGCACGAUCCUGAGACAUUUGUCAUACAUGUAGAGCUGCAAUAUAAUAUAUAAUAUAUAUAAUUAAUAUAUAUAUAUAUAAAUUUAGUAAUCGAUUAGUAAUCGAUUGAAAAAAAAAGUCAAUAUUCUCUGAUUUCAGCCUCUUCAACGUGAAUGUGUUCUGGUGUCUCUGCUCCUCUGUGACAGUGAACUGAAGAUCUUUGGUGUGUGGACAAAACAGAAACAUCAUCUUGGGGUUUUGGGGAAAGACGAUCGGCAUUUUUCACCGUUUCAUGACAUCGUGUGAACCAAACAACUGAUUGACUAAUCGAGAAAAUCAUCGUCAGAUGAAUCGGUUAUGAAAACAAUCGACGGUUGCAGCCGCACGUAUGUACGUGCGAAAGUCUGGAGACAUGGAAAGUUCGCUUCCGACACAUCGACAUUUGACAUGUUUUUGUCACGAGGACGUAAUUGUUGCGACGCGUUUUUGAUGCCAACCAGCAAGUUUGUCAGAGCUGAAGAUAUAAAGAGAUAAGAUGAGAUGAGAUCUGCCUUCAUUCAUCCCACAAUGGCGAAAUUUGGACAUCACAGCAGCACAGUGGACAGAAGAACAUAGGAAGACAUUUAAAAAGGCAAUAGGUAUGUGCAAAAUAUAACAGAAAAUAUAAAAAAGGUAUAUAAAUA
ensembl:lncRNA